rnacentral:rRNA from 1 species
GCUAUACAUGCAAGUCGAGCGAACGGACGAGAAGCUUGCUUCUCUGAUGUUAGCGGCGGACGGGUGAGUAACACGUGGAUAACCUACCUAUAAGACUGGGAUAACUUCGGGAAACCGGAGCUAAUACCGGAUAAUAUUUUGAACCGCAUGGUUCAAAAGUGAAAGACGGUCUUGCUGUCACUUAUAGAUGGAUCCGCGCUGCAUUAGCUAGUUGGUAAGGUAACGGCUUACCAAGGCAACGAUGCAUAGCCGACCUGAGAGGGUGAUCGGCCACACUGGAACUGAGACACGGUCCAGACUCCUACGGGAGGCAGCAGUAGGGAAUCUUCCGCAAUGGGCGAAAGCCUGACGGAGCAACGCCGCGUGAGUGAUGAAGGUCUUCGGAUCGUAAAACUCUGUUAUUAGGGAAGAACAUAUGUGUAAGUAACUGUGCACAUCUUGACGGUACCUAAUCAGAAAGCCACGGCUAACUACGUGCCAGCAGCCGCGGUAAUACGUAGGUGGCAAGCGUUAUCCGGAAUUAUUGGGCGUAAAGCGCGCGUAGGCGGUUUUUUAAGUCUGAUGUGAAAGCCCACGGCUCAACCGUGGAGGGUCAUUGGAAACUGGAAAACUUGAGUGCAGAAGAGGAAAGUGGAAUUCCAUGUGUAGCGGUGAAAUGCGCAGAGAUAUGGAGGAACACCAGUGGCGAAGGCGACUUUCUGGUCUGUAACUGACGCUGAUGUGCGAAAGCGUGGGGAUCAAACAGGAUUAGAUACCCUGGUAGUCCACGCCGUAAACGAUGAGUGCUAAGUGUUAGGGGGUUUCCGCCCCUUAGUGCUGCAGCUAACGCAUUAAGCACUCCGCCUGGGGAGUACGACCGCAAGGUUGAAACUCAAAGGAAUUGACGGG